rnacentral:lncRNA from 1 species
CAGCCCCUUGCUACGCUGUUACACAGCUAUAUAUAUUAAACAGGUGUUUCAUUCAAAUCAUUGGGGUAUUCGUUUAGAAUGUCAGAUGUAACCGUUGGAAGAAUAGUUAAAGAAACAUGCAAUGCUAUUUGGCAUUUGGGACCACUUGAACAGUCUACAUAUUAUGCCAUUCCCUCUUACAGAUGAACAGCUGGAGUCAAUAGUAGAAGGUUUUUGGCGUAAAUGGAAAUUUCCUAGUUGUGUUGGAUGCAUUGAUGGAAAACAUAUACGCAUACGAAAUCCAGACCACUCAGGCAGCAUGUUAAUGUUGAAAUUACAAGCAAUUAUUUUCGACUGUGCUGCAAGGUGUUUCAGGACCCAAUUACAAGUUUAUUACUAUUGAUACAGGAGGGUACGGUAAGGAAAGUGACGGUGGCGUGUUUUCUAAUUCCUGUCUUAAUAGAAGGCUUGAAAGAAAUGAGUUAGGUAAUAAACGGCUUACCACACUUCCUGGAUCGAAUAUUAAAGUUCCGCGUGUUCUGUUGGGGAUGAAGCCUAUUGAAACCUCUAAACUCUGGGUAUAGAGAUUUUGAAGAGAAGAAUGAACUGACGAAAUAUGGGGAAAAUAGGAGCGAAGAGAUUUAAGACGAAAGGAAGAGGGGCUUAGCUCAGAAGGGAAAAAUCAAAAGGGCAGAGAGACACUAAAUCUCAAGUGAGUAUUCGGGCUAGCUUCAAUACACCGAAUAUUGGCUUUGGAGAUAUGAGAAAAAAUUUGAUAAUGAAAUGAUAGUAACUAGGAAGAAAAUGAGACCUGUUAAUACAAAAACUUAAUACAACUAGAUAAGAAUAUAGAAAUAAAGUGAUAUAAAAAGGACGAUAAAGAGAGAAGAAGAAGGGCGCCAACUCAACAAGAGGUUGAGAUUUUUUGAAGUCAAGAAUUACAAGAAAUAAAUGACACUAGAUACGAUCACCUGAAAUACAAAAUACCAAAUAUUAAUCUUGUCUUGCUAUUUUAUAUACUAGUGAUACAGACUGAAAUAAAACACCAACCUUAAUACAUACAAAUAUAUUAAUAAUAAAUAUGUUAUAUAUCUCUUAACAGUUUACAUAUAACGCAACUUAAUAACAAUGAUAGUGGAUGGUGAAAAGAUCAAAUAGGACCGCAAAGGCCACUUAACAAGCAAUUAUCCACUAUCACUGGGCCAAGCAAAGGUAUUACUAUCAAAAUCCAAAUCAAAAGUCCGUUAAGAGUCGCACAAAGUCCUUAGAACUAAAAGUUAGUAAUAUUCCCUAAAUUGAACUAGGCUAGUGAGAUCCACGACAAGAACGCUACGGUUACCAAAAAUAAUUAAAGAUCUCACCUAGCAAAAACACUAAUAAGUAAUUAUAUAAUGAGUUAUAUAAAUGAGUUGGUCAGUGACUCUUUAUAUACAAUGUAAAAACCUACUAGACAUAUUCCCUAUUUAAAAUAAACCUCGACAAAAUUUUAACAACCCCUUCCCUAUCAAAUUUUUAAGAUACAAUUAUUUAUAAUGAUUAUUGAACAAGACCUAAUUUUAUUUAUUUGAAACUACUACUUAUAUUGAAUCAAGAAAAAAA